rnacentral:tRNA from 1 species
GGGGGCGUAGCUCAGCGGUUAGAGCAGGCGGCUCAUAACCGCUUGGUCGCUGGUUCGAUCCCAGCCGCCCCCACCA